rnacentral:misc_RNA from 1 species
GGGUGCAGAUCACUUCUUUGUUACCUGUCAUGAUGUUGGGGUCAGGGCAACUGAAGGGCAUCCCUUUCUUGUAAAGAAUGCAAUCCGUGUCGUGUGCUCCCCUAGCUAUGAUGUUGGAUAUAUUCCGCAUAAGGAUGUUGCUCUUCCACAAGUUCUGCAGCCAUUUGCCCUUCCUGCUGGAGGAAAUGACAUUGAGAACAGGACAACUUUGGGUUUCUGGGCAGGUCAUAGAAACUCUAAAAUCAGGGUUAUCC